AUUCAGUCUGGAUGCGCGGACGCGAUGGUCGGAAGACGAAAGGCAGGGCUUUCCCCAUCGGGAGCCGUCCGAUCGCGCGGAGCUCCGCGUUGCCAGACGCAUUUGUCUCUCGUCCCGAGGACGCCGCAGCCGGCUGGGUAGUGCAAGCGCGACGGCCUGAGGGGCGGAAGAUGGCAGGUGGCCGGUGGCUCGCUUCAUUGHGGGUCGCCGGUUGUUAGCCGUUCCGCCGGUGGCACGUCACCCGGCCGAGGUGUCGCGAGGCCUUUCGGGGCCUCUUCGUCUCCCCCCUCUGUGGAAGCGGGACAGGGCGCCGCAGGUGGGGAACGUCGUCCCGUUCGCACCCUUCAGGGGUGGUCGGGCGAACGGAACCCGCCGUUGGUGGCGACGGACCCGUCGGAGGUCGGGGGCUGGCGGCGAGUAGGUCGGUCACCCACCCGACCCGUCUUGAAACACGGACCAAGGAGUCUAACAUGUGCGCGAGUCAAUGGGUCUUGAACAGGCCCAGAGGCGCAACGAAAGCGAAGGCCGACGCCACGUCGGCCGAGUUGGGAUCCCCCGUCUUYAUGCGGGGGCGCACCGACGACCCGUCCCCUCCGGUUCGCCGGUCGGGCGGAGUGAGAGCGUACACGUUGGGACCCGAAAGAUGGUGAACUAUGCCCGGACAGGACGAAGCCAGAGGAAACUCUGAUGGAGGUCCGCAGCGGUUCUGACGUGCAAAU
rnacentral:rRNA from 1 species